GCUCAAGUUCCUGGCUCUGCUGAGGGCAUUUAGUUGGCUUGCCCUUGCAGAUGGCUUGGCAGAAAUAAGGUUCUCUGAGGACUCUGAAUGAGGAGGGGGGGAGUGACAGAAAGGAGGUCGUUAGGACAGUCCUGUCUGUGCAGUGGUGGAUGAUUAAAGGGUGAGCACGGGGUAAGGUGGAUGACCCCCUAACUCAUGCGUGAAAGACACUAAUGCGUGUCUUUCAAACGGUAGCUGGGCUGGGUUGCCAAGGAAUUGUGUUUAGAAGAGGAGUAUUUCACCUGUGGGCAUUUGGAGCCUGUGGAUACUUUGCCCAAUGUUGUUCUUCAUUUGAAAGCAAGAGCUGUAACUAUGUGGGUUCAUCCUAGUGAGCAGCAAGGACAUUUGCAUGAAAGGGAGAGGUUCAAAGCAAGGCUCUGUAUGAAUGAGAAACCUACAGAGAAAAUUACACAGCAUCAAACACUUUUUAGAAUAACCAUCCAACUGCUUUUGGUAGCUGGUUUCAGGUAAGCAAUAAGUAAGAGAGGAAUAUUUGUUGGUUACAGAUGGUAAGAAUAACUGAUUUUAGAGAAUUUUCUCAUUUGAAGUAAAUUGUUAGCUUACUGUUAAUCUCUC
ensembl:lncRNA